rnacentral:rRNA from 1 species
UACGUAGGGGGCUAGCGUUGUCCGGAUUUAUUGGGCGUAAAGAGCGUGUAGGCGGCCAGGUAGGUCUGCUGUGAAAACUCGAGGCUCAACCUCGAGACGUCGGCGGAAACCAUCUGGCUAGAGUCCGGAAGAGGAGAGUGGAAUUCCUGGUGUAGCGGUGAAAUGCGCAGAUAUCAGGAAGAACACCCGUGGCGAAGGCGAAUCCCUGGAAAAUACCUGACACUGAGGCACGAAAGCUAGGGGAGCAAACAGG